UACGAAGGGGGCUAGCGUUGUUCGGAUUUACUGGGCGUAAAGCGCACGUAGGCGGAUCGAUCAGUCAGGGGUGAAAUCCCAGAGCUCAACUCUGGAACUGCCUUUGAUACUGUCGAUCUGGAGUAUGGAAGAGGUGAGUGGAAUUCCGAGUGUAGAGGUGAAAUUCGUAGAUAUUGGGAAGAACACCGGUGGCGAAGGCGGCUCACUGGCUCGUAACUGACGCUCAUGCACGACAGCGUGGGGAUCAAACAGG
rnacentral:rRNA from 1 species